rnacentral:snRNA from 1 species
GCACUCGCUUCGGCGGUACAUAUACUAAAAUUGGAAUGAUACAGAGAAGAUUAGCAUGGCCCCUGCGUAAGGAUGACACGCAAAAUCGUGAAGCGUUCUACACUAUG